AAUGUGAGGGUGUAGUCACUUUUGUGAGAUACUGUGUAUAAAUAUAUACACAGUAUCUCACAAAAGUGACUACACCCUCACAUU